rnacentral:misc_RNA from 1 species
AACAUCGCGCACCUGCGGGAACCUGCGGAGGGAUCAUUACAGAGUUGCAAAACUCCCUAAACCAUUGUGAACGUUACCUAAACCGUUGCUUCGGCGGGCGGCCCGGGUCCUUCCCGGCGCCCAUCGGCCCUCGCGGGCGCCCGCCGGAGGUAAACCAAACUAUUGCAUUGUAUGGCCUCUCUGAGUCUUCUGUACUGAAUAAGUCGAAACUUUCAACAACGGAUCUCAGAUCGGAAGAGC